rnacentral:rRNA from 1 species
AUUGAACGCUGGCGGCAGGCCUAACACAUGCAAGUCGAACGAGUGGCGGACGGGUGAGUAAUGUCUGGGAAACUGCCUGAUGGAGGGGGAUAACUACUGGAAACGGUAGCUAAUACCGCAUACCAUCGGAUGUGCCCAGAUGGGAUUAGCUAGUAGGUGGGGUAAAGGCUCACCUAGGCGACGAUCCCUAGCUGGUCUGAGAGGAUGACCAGCCACACGGGAACUGAGACACGGUCCCGACUCCUACGGGAGGAAGCAGUGGGGAAUAUUGCACAAGUGGCGCAAGCCUGAUGCAGCCAUGCCGCGUGUAUGAAGAAGGUCUUCGGGUUGUAAAGUACUUUAAGCUGGGAGGCGUUACCAGCAGAAGAAGCACCGGCUAACUCCGUGCCAGCAGCCGCGGUAAUUC